rnacentral:rRNA from 1 species
UACGUAGGGUGCAAGCGUUAAUCGGAAUUACUGGGCGUAAAGUGUGCGCAGGCGGCUCCGCAAGUCGAGUGUGAAAUCCCCGAGCUUAACUUGGGAAUGGCGCUCGAAACUACGUGGCUGGAGUGUGGCAGAGGAAGGUGGAAUUCCACGUGUAGCGGUGAAAUGCGUAGAUAUGUGGAGGAACACCGAUGGCGAAGGCAGCCUUCUGGGCCAACACUGACGCUCAUGCACGAAAGCGUGGGGAGCAAACAGG